CCUGGGGUCCUGUUGCGCAGUAAGGAGCAGUCCGUCUGUCAGAGCGAGCAGGGAACUGAGAAUUGGGAAGUUGAGUUGGCCAGCCAAAAUGCUCCGCUCAGGUCCCUCGGGGACCCAGAAGAGAGGAAGCACUUAGAAUUUUGCAGUGCUUCCCUUGUCUGUCCUGCUGAGAAGAAAAGAAAAAUGGAAGAAUAUAUGACCAAAAGAAUGAGUCUCCUUUUCACAAGAGCUGCAGAAAGUUGUUGAACUCCUUGGAUGAAAAAAGAGUUAUAAAGGGUUUAAGGAUGGAGAGAAAUUGGUGGAUCCUGAGGUGGGAGAACCGGGCCUAGAAAGGCUACAAAGAUAAUGUUAAUCUCUCAUGAGAUUUAUUUUUCUUUUUUUUUAUUGAAGUAUAUAAUCAGUUUACAAUUUGUCAGUUGUCAAUUUCUGUUGUACAGCAUAAUGUUUCAGUUAUACAUAUACAUAC